UAAGCAGUGGAGUUACAUUAAUGAUUUUCUAGUCCUCUGGUACCAUUCCUAACUCUAGUGAUCCUUGAAAGAUAACUAAAUGCCUUCACAAUCUCAACAGCUACCUCUUUCAAAAUCCUGGGCUGUAGUCCAUCUAGUUAAGGUCUUGACCCGAAACGUCGCCUAU